GCCGCGGUGGUGGAACUGGCAGACACGCACGGUUCAGAGCCGUGUGACCGCAAGGUCGUGAGAGUUCAAAUCUCUCCCGCGGCA
rnacentral:tRNA from 2 species